UAUGGGCUACCAUUUUUUUCUCCAAAUAUCUUUGCGUUUUAACGGCGGUUAAAUAAAAUAAUAUCUGCAUUACAAAAUAAGUUAUGGUUACAACGCUAAGCAUGCAACGUCCUUAACAAUCAUUACAGUUUUCUGUCCAAUAACUUUUUUAUUCAGUUACUCAAAAUCGCUGUUUGUUAAAUGGUGGUGCAAAUAUGGGCUGCCUAUUUAAGAUAUAAUUAAUGGCGUAUAGAAACGGGUUAAGGGUGGAGAAACUGAGUGCCACAGGUACUACCCUUGAUUAAUUAUUUUUAUAAUUAAUGGCGUAUAUAAACGGGUUAAGGGUGGAGAAACUGAGUGCCACAGGUACUACCCUUGAUUAAUUAUUUUCAUAAUUAAUGGCGUAUAUAAACGGGUUAAGGGUGGAGAAACUGAGUGCCACAGGUACUACCCUUGACUAAAUAUUUUUAUAAUUAAUGGCGUAUAUAAACGGGUUAAGGGUGGAGAAACUGAGUGCCACAGGUACUACCCUUGACUAAAUAUUUUCAUACACAGCCGUAAGUACUCACAGAUUAAUAAAACUUUUUCCAUAUUAGUAUUGUAAUGAAAUGUUUCCCUGUUAUUUUGCUAUAGGAAGAAAUGUUCCCCUAUUAUUUUGUUAUAUGAAGAAAUGUUUCCCUAUUAUUUUGUUAUAGAAAGAAAUGUUUCCCUAUUAUUUUGUUAUCUGAAGAAAUGUUUCCCUAUUAUUUUGUUAUAGGAAGAAAUGUUUCCCUAUUAUUUUGUUAUAUAAAGAAAUGUUUCCCUGUUAUUUUGCUAUAGGAAGAAAUGUUUCCCUAUUAUUUUGUUAUAUAAAGAAAUGUUUCCCUGUUAUUUUGUUAUAUGAAUUAAUGUUUUCCUAUUAUUUUGUUAUCUGAAGAAAUGUUUCCCUAUUAUUUUGUUAUAGGAAGAAAUGUUUCCCUAUUAUUUUGUUAUAUGAAGAAAUGUUUCCCUAUUAUUUUGUUAUAUGAAGAAAUGUUUCCCUAUUAUUUUGUUAUAUGAAGAAAUGUUUCCCUAUUAUUUUGUUAUAUAAAGAAAUGUUUCCGUAUUUUUUUGUUAUAUGAAGAAAUGUUUCCGUAUUAUUUUGUUAUAUGAAGAAAUGUUUCCCUAUUAUUUUGUUAUAUAAAGAAAUGUUUCCGUAUUAUUUUGUUAUAUGAAGAAAUGUUUCCGUAUUAUUUUGUUAUAUAAAGAAAUGUUUCCCUAUUAUUUUGUUAUAUAAAAAAAUGUUUCCCUAUUAUUUUGUUAUAUAAAGAAAUGUUUCCGUAUUAUUUUGUUAUAUGAAGAAAUGUUUCCCUGUUAUUUUGUUAUAUAAAGAAAUGUUUCCGUAUUAUUUUGUUAUAUGAAAAAAUGUUUGGAAAAAAAGCUUUACACUUCUAGUUAUUUACAAUAGUCACACAAAGAUCCAUCCACUCAACUCCUGCACAUUCAUCGUGUGCUCACAGUUAACACAACGUACACUGAACCCACAGCUCACCUCUUUUAUCAUCAGAAAAGUUCCUGUCACAGACAAGGCAGGCAGCACCUUCUCCUGGCUCUUGUAUCCCACCAGACAUUGUCAUCUCACCGUCUUGUAAAAUACCUGCACCACGUUUACUGUCUCAAUCUUGAGUGUAUACUUUCCUAGCAACUUUAUUGUUUCUCUUUAUUGGAGUCUUUUCUUAGGUCUAUUCUUUCUUGAAUAAAAAUCUAAACUCUUCUUCGGUUUCUCCACAUUUGAUUUCACUUAUAUUUAGUUGGUGACUUCUUGUAAGGUUUUCCUCUUAAGAGACACGCCCCAGCUCUCUUUCGACCCCUGUUACUUGUCUUCCUUCUGAUGGCUGGAGCCCGUAUUAGGAAGGGUAGCCCAUACUAAUAGCAUCAAGCCAUAUUUCAAAUAUGAGUAGUAUCAAUAGAUGUUGUAUAUUUGCUAAUAAAAUAUAUGCUGACUUUAAAGUUCAUUUCUUAAACUUAUCACUUGACCUUGGAAAAUAAUUUAAUAAAGAAGCAAGUGCACGGGAAAAAAUGAAAAAAAAUACCUUUGAAAAAAACUUUAACACUGUGAUAAAAAUGAUCAUGGGCGUCACGCAUCUGUCCAGUGGGCUGAUCGCAGCGCAGCUAAAAGCGCCUUCAAAGUAAUGACUCGCAUGUCUCCCUUCAAGAUACAGCGCCUCACACAGCUAGAAUCUCGUUUGCCCAUAUUUACACCCUAGCCCGUAUUUGCACCAUUUUCUCUCUCUCUCUCUCUCUC